rnacentral:rRNA from 1 species
CGCCUGGGGAGUACGGGUGAGGUAACGGCUCACCGAGGCAUCGACGGGUAGCUGGUCUGAGAGGAUGAUCAGCCACACUGGGACUGAGACACGGCCCAGACUCCUACGGGAGGCAGCAGUAGGGAAUAUUGCACAAUGGGCGAAAGCCUGAUGCAGCAACGCCGCGUGCGGGAAGAAGGCCCUAGGGUUGUAAACCGCUUUCAGCAGGGAAGAAAAUGACGGUACCUGCAGAAGAAGGUGCGGCCAACUACGUGCCAGCAGCCGCGGUGACACGUAGGCACCAAGCGUUGUCCGGAUUUAUUGGGCGUAAAGAGCUCGUAGGCGGUUCAGUUAGUCGGGUGUGAAAACUCUGGGCUCAACCCAGAGACGCCACUCGAUACUGCUGUGACUAGAGUGCGGUAGGGGAGCGGGGAAUUCCUAGUGUAGCGGUGAAAUGCGCAGAUAUUAGGAGGAACACCAGUGGCGAAGGCGCCGCUCUGGGCCGUAACUGACGCUGAGGAGCGAAAGCGUGGGUAGCAAACAGGAUUAGAUACCCUGGUAGUCCACGCCGUAAACGGUGGGUGCUAGCUGUGGGCCACAUUCCACGUGGUCCGUGACGAAGUUAACACAUUAAGCACCCCGCCUGGGGAGUACGG